UAGGGAAUCUUCCGCAAUGGACGAAAGUCUGACGGAGCGACGCCGCGUGAGCGAAGAAGGUCUUCGGAUCGUAAAGCUCUGUUGUUAGGGAAGAAGAAGUGCCGUUCGAACAGGGCGGCGCGGUGACGGUACCUAACGAGAAAGCCCCGGCUAACUACGUGCCAGCAGCCGCGGUAAUACGUAGGGGGCGAGCGUUGUCCGGAAUUAUUGGGCGUAAAGCGCGCGCAGGCGGUCCCUUAAGUCUGAUGUGAAAGCCCACGGCUUAACCGUGGAGGGUCAUUGGAAACUGGGGGACUUGAGUGCAGAAGAGGAGAGCGGAAUUCCACGUGUAGCGGUGAAAUGCGUAGAGAUGUGGAGGAACACCAGUGGCGAAGGCGGCUCUCUGGUCUGUAACUGACGCUGAGGCGCGAAAGCGUGGGGAGCAAACAGG
rnacentral:rRNA from 2 species